rnacentral:rRNA from 1 species
GCGCGAAAACUUUACAAUGCCGGCAACGGCGAUAAGGGGACCUCGAGUGCCAGGUUACAAAUCUGGCUGUCGUGAUGCCUAAAAAGCAUUACAUAGCAAGGGCCGGGCAAGACCGGUGCCAGCCGCCGCGGUAACACCGGCGGCUCGAGUGGUAACCGUUAUUAUUGGGUCUAAAGGGUCUGUAGCCGGCCGGAUAAGUCUCUUGGGAAAUCCAGCAGCUCAACUGUUGGGCUUUCAGGAGAUACUGUUCGGCUCGAGGCCGGGAGAGGUGAGAGGUACUUCAGGGGUAGGGGUGAAAUCUUGUAAUCCUUGAAGGACCACCAGUGGCGAAGGCGUCUCACCAGAACGGACCUGACGGCAAGGGACGAAAGCUAGGGGCACGAACC